UGCCCAGCAACUCCUAUCUCUACCUCCUCACGGUACUGGCCGGGGUACGAGUAACCUUAGGGAAGAUCGGGUAACCAACCCCGAUGGGAACUUUGGUCGUAUGCUGACAGGAAAGG
rfam:Aedes aegypti strain Liverpool supercont1.342 genomic scaffold, whole genome shotgun sequence.